GUACUUGCUUCAGCGGCACACACACUAAAAUUGGAAUGACACAAAAAAGAUUCGCAUGCCCCUGUGCAAGGAUGACAUGAAAAUUUGUGAAGCUUUCCGUAUUUUU